GACGAACGCUGGCGGCGUGCUUAACACAUGCAAGUCGAACGGAGUGGCGAACGGGUGAGUAACACGUGGGUGAUCUGCCUUGCACUUCGGGAUAAGCUUGGGAAACUGGGUCUAAUACCGGAUAGUGCAAGAUGAGCUCGCGGCCUAUCAGCUUGUUGGUGGGGUAAUGGCCGACCAAGGCGUCGACGGGUAGUCGGCCUGAGAGGGUGUACGGCCACAUUGGGACUGAGUGACGGACCAGAGUCCUACGGGGGGCAGCAGUGGGGAAUAUUGCACAAUGGGCGGAAGCCUGAUGCAGCGACGCCGCGGGUGGGAUGAAGGCCUUCGAGUUGUAAACUCCUUUCGACAGGGACGCGGUACCUGUAUAAGAAGCACCGGCUAACUACGUGCCAGCAGCCGCGGUAAUUC
rnacentral:rRNA from 1 species